rnacentral:lncRNA from 1 species
CUUGUAUGGUACACUUUGAGAUUUUUAUUAAUGUAAUUUCUAUGAACCUAUGACUUAGAAGGAUGGAAAUUCUAUUAGUUUGAUCUCUAAUAUGUGCCAAGUUAUCAAAAAAAUCAUUCUCCUUAAUUCUCUCAGCAGCUGACAUCAUUUCACACAUAAGGAGACAAACUCAAAGACGUUUAAACAGUUGCUGAAAACUACACACCAUGCAGAGGAAGAAAACAGGGAAGGGAGUCUCAACUGACAAAAAUUUCUUCCAAAUUGAGGAGUUUAUGUGAACAGGGUAUAUUAGCAGCAAGAAAUAUAAAAAUCUGAGUUUAAGUAGCAAGACAUGGAAACAACCUAAAUGUCUAUCGA